rnacentral:rRNA from 1 species
UGCAAGUCGAACGGCAGCGCGGGGCAACCUGGCGGCGAGUGGCGAACGGGUGAGUAAUAUAUCGGAACGUGCCCUGGAGUGGGGGAUAACGCAGCGAAAGUUGCGCUAAUACCGCAUACGAUCUAAGGAUGAAAGCGGGGGAUUCGCAAGAACCUCGUGCUCCUGGAGCGGCCGAUAUCUGAUUAGCUAGUUGGUGGGGUAAAGGCCUACCAAGGCAUCGAUCAGUAGCUGGUCUGAGAGGACGACCAGCCACACUGGAACUGAGACACGGUCCAGACUCCUACGGGAGGCAGCAGUGGGGAAUUUUGGACAGUGGGCGAAAGCCUGAUCCAGCAAUGCCGCGUGAGUGAAGAAGGCCUUCGGGUUGUAAAGCUCUUUUGUCAGGGAAGAAACGGUGAAGGCUAAUAUCCUUUGCUAAUGACGGUACCUGAAGAAUAAGCACCGGCUAACUACGUGCCAGCAGCCGCGGUAAUACGUAGGGUGCAAGCGUUAAUCGGAAUUACUGGGCGUAAAGCGUGCGCAGGCGGUUUUGUAAGUCUGUCGUGAAAUCCCCGGGCUCAACCUGGGAAUUGCGAUGGAGACUGCAAGGCUAGAAUCUGGCAGAGGGGGGUAGAAUUCCACGUGUAGCAGUGAAAUGCGUAGAGAUGUGGAGGAACACCGAUGGCGAAGGCAGCCCCCUGGGUCAAGAUUGACGCUCAUGCACGAAAGCGUGGGGAGCAAACAGGAUUAGAUACCCUGGUAGUCCACGCCCUAAACGAUGUCUACUAGUUGUCGGGUUUUAAUUAACUUGGUAACGCAGCUAACGCGUGAAGUAGACCGCCUGGGGGGUACGGUCGCAAGAUUAAAACUCAAAGGAAUUGACGGGGACCCGCACAAGCGGNGGAUGAUGUGGAUUAAUUCGAUGCAACGCGAAAAACNUUACCUACCCUUGAC